rnacentral:rRNA from 11 species
UUGUAGGGUCUAAAUACCCUAAAGGCACCAGAUCCUAUCUGAUCUUGGAAGCUAAGAAGACCUAGUUCUGGUUAGUACUUGGAGGGGAGACUGCUAAUGUAUGUGGGGUGCCGUAAGCU